rnacentral:rRNA from 1 species
UACAGAGGUCUCGAGCGUUAGGCGGAAUCACUGGGCUUAAAGCGUGUGUAGGCGGAUGCCUAAGUACCUUGUGAAAUCCCACGGCUUAACCGUGGAACUGCUUGGUAUACUGGGUGUCUUGAGCCACUCAGGGGCGAGCGGAACAAAUGGUGGAGCGGUGAAAUGCGUAGAUAUCAUUUGGAACGCCAAUGGUGAAACAGCUCGCUGGGGUGUGACUGACGCUGGAGACACGAAAGCCAGGGAGCGAACGGG